rnacentral:rRNA from 1 species
GACGAACGCUGGCGGCGUGCCUAAUACAUGCAAGUUGAGCGCUGAAGGUUGGUACUUGUCCCAACUGGAUGAGCAGCGAACGGGUGAGUAACGCGUGGGGAAUCUGCCUUUGAUCGGGGGACAACAUUUGGAAACGAAUGCUAAUACCGCAUAAAAACUUUAAACACAAGUUUUAAGUUUGAAAGAUGCAAUUGCAUCACUCAAAGAUGAUCCCGCGUUGUAUUAGCUAGUUGGUGAGGUAAAGGCUCACCAAGGCGAUGAUACAUAGCCGACCUGAGAGGGUGAUCGGCCACAUUGGGACUGAGACACGGCCCAAACUCCUACGGGAGGCAGCAGUAGGGAAUCUUCGGCAAUGGACGAAAGUCUGACCGAGCAACGCCGCGUGAGUGAAGAAGGUUUUCGGAUCGUAAAACUCUGUUGGUAGAGAAGAACGUUGGUGAGAGUGGAAAGCUCAUCAAGUGACGGUAACUACCCAGAAAGGGACGGCUAACUACGUG